GAUGAACGCUAGCUAUAGGCUUAACACAUGCAAGUCGAGGGACCGGCGCACGGGUGAGUAACGCGUAUCCAACCUACCCAUAACUACGGGAUAACCCAGCGAAAGUUGGACUAAUACCUUAUGGUUAUGGUUGGGGAUGCGUCGGAUUAGUUUGUUGGCGGGGUAACGUCCAACCAAGGCAACGUUCAGGAGGGGUUCGGAGAGGAAGGUCCCCGACAUUGGAACUGAGACACGGUCCAAACUCGUACGGGAGGCAGCAGUGAGGAAUAUUGGUCAAUGGACGCAAGUCUGAACCAGCCAAGUAGCGUGAAGGAUGACGGCCUAUGGGUUGUAAACUGCUUUUAUAUGGGGAUAGGUACUAUAUGAAUAAGGACCGGCUAAUUCCGUGCCAGCAGCCGCGGUAAUAC
rnacentral:rRNA from 1 species